GGCGAACGCUGGCGGCGUGCUUAACACAUGCAAGUCGAGCGGUAAGGCCUUUCGGGGUACACGAGCGGCGAACGGGUGAGUAACACGUGGGUGAUCUGCCCUGCACUUCGGGAUAAGCCUGGGAAACUGGGUCUAAUACCGGAUAUGACCUCCUAUCGCAUGGUGGGUGGUGGAAAGAUUUAUCGGUGCAGGAUGGGCCCGCGGCCUAUCAGCUUGUUGGUGGGGUAAUGGCCUACCAAGGCGACGACGGGUAGCCGACCUGAGAGGGUGACCGGCCACACUGGGACUGAGACACGGCCCAGACUCCUACGGGAGGCAGCAGUGGGGAAUAUUGCACAAUGGGCGAAAGCCUGAUGCAGCGACGCCGCGUGAGGGAUGACGGCCUUCGGGUUGUAAACCUCUUUCAGCAGGGACGAAGCGCAAGUGACGGUACCUGCAGAAGAAGCACCGGCUAACUACGUG
rnacentral:rRNA from 1 species